GGGUUGUGAGGUUAAGCGACUAAGCGUACACGGUGGAUGCCCUGGCAGUCAGAGGCGAUGAAGGACGUGCUAAUCUGCGAUAAGCGUCGGUAAGGUGAUAUGAACCGUUAUAACCGGCGAUUUCCGAAUGGGGAAACCCAGUGUGUUUCGACACACUAUCAUUAACUGAAUCCAUAGGUUAAUGAGGCGAACCGGGGGAACUGAAACAUCUAAGUACCCCGAGGAAAAGAAAUCAACCGAGAUUCCCCCAGUAGCGGCGAGCGAACGGGGAGGAGCCCAGAGCCUGAAUCAGUGUGUGUGUUAGUGGAAGCGUCUGGAAAGGCGCGCGAUACAGGGUGACAGCCCCGUACACAAAAAUGCACAUGCUGUGAGCUCGAUGAGUAGGGCGGGACACGUGGUAUCCUGUCUGAAUAUGGGGGGACCAUCCUCCAAGGCUAAAUACUCCUGACUGACCGAUAGUGAACCAGUACCGUGAGGGAAAGGCGAAAAGAACCCCGGCGAGGGGAGUGAAAAAGAACCUGAAACCGUGUACGUACAAGCAGUGGGAGCCUCUUUUAUGGGGUGACUGCGUACCUUUUGUAUAAUGGGUCAGCGACUUAUAUUCUGUAGCAAGGUUAACCGAAUAGGGGAGCCGAAGGGAAACCGAGUCUUAACUGGGCGUUAAGUUGCAGGGUAUAGACCCGAAACCCGGUGAUCUAGCCAUGGGCAGGUUGAAGGUUGGGUAACACUAACUGGAGGACCGAACCGACUAAUGUUGAAAAAUUAGCGGAUGACUUGUGGCUGGGGGUGAAAGGCCAAUCAAACCGGGAGAUAGCUGGUUCUCCCCGAAAGCUAUUUAGGUAGCGCCUCGUGAAUUCAUCUCCGGGGGUAGAGCACUGUUUCGGCAAGGGGGUCAUCCCGACUUACCAACCCGAUGCAAACUGCGAAUACCGGAGAAUGUUAUCACGGGAGACACACGGCGGGUGCUAACGUCCGUCGUGAAGAGGGAAACAACCCAGACCGCCAGCUAAGGUCCCAAAGUCAUGGUUAAGUGGGAAACGAUGUGGGAAGGCCCAGACAGCCAGGAUGUUGGCUUAGAAGCAGCCAUCAUUUAAAGAAAGCGUAAUAGCUCACUGGUCGAGUCGGCCUGCGCGGAAGAUGUAACGGGGCUAAACCAUGCACCGAAGCUGCGGCAGCGACGCUGAUGCGUUGUUGGGUAGGGGAGCGUUCUGUAAGCCUGUGAAGGUGUGCUGUGAGGCAUGCUGGAGGUAUCAGAAGUGCGAAUGCUGACAUAAGUAACGAUAAAGCGGGUGAAAAGCCCGCUCGCCGGAAGACCAAGGGUUCCUGUCCAACGUUAAUCGGGGCAGGGUGAGUCGACCCCUAAGGCGAGGCCGAAAGGCGUAGUCGAUGGGAAACAGGUUAAUAUUCCUGUACUUGGUGUUACUGCGAAGGGGGGACGGAGAAGGCUAUGUUGGCCGGGCGACGGUUGUCCCGGUUUAAGCGUGUAGGCUGGUUUUCCAGGCAAAUCCGGAAAAUCAAGGCUGAGGCGUGAUGACGAGGCACUACGGUGCUGAAGCAACAAAUGCCCUGCUUCCAGGAAAAGCCUCUAAGCAUCAGGUAACAUCAAAUCGUACCCCAAACCGACACAGGUGGUCAGGUAGAGAAUACCAAGGCGCUUGAGAGAACUCGGGUGAAGGAACUAGGCAAAAUGGUGCCGUAACUUCGGGAGAAGGCACGCUGAUAUGUAGGUGAAGUCCCUCGCGGAUGGAGCUGAAAUCAGUCGAAGAUACCAGCUGGCUGCAACUGUUUAUUAAAAACACAGCACUGUGCAAACACGAAAGUGGACGUAUACGGUGUGACGCCUGCCCGGUGCCGGAAGGUUAAUUGAUGGGGUCAGCGCAAGCGAAGCUCUUGAUCGAAGCCCCGGUAAACGGCGGCCGUAACUAUAACGGUCCUAAGGUAGCGAAAUUCCUUGUCGGGUAAGUUCCGACCUGCACGAAUGGCGUAAUGAUGGCCAGGCUGUCUCCACCCGAGACUCAGUGAAAUUGAACUCGCUGUGAAGAUGCAGUGUACCCGCGGCAAGACGGAAAGACCCCGUGAACCUUUACUAUAGCUUGACACUGAACAUUGAGCCUUGAUGUGUAGGAUAGGUGGGAGGCUUAGAAGUGUGGACGCCAGUCUGCAUGGAGCCGACCUUGAAAUACCACCCUUUAAUGUUUGAUGUUCUAACGU
rnacentral:rRNA from 1 species